UAGAAUUAGGGUUGUGCACACCAGAUACAAGCCCACAAAAGUAUAACCGUUUUGCUUGCUCGUCUUGGAGGAGCAACCACGCUGAGACCCCUUUGCCCAGAAUCGUGCAAUUCAUCACGAAAUCGCGAUUUUUCGAUUCCAUCAGUGAUUCGGAAUCAUUGGGUCCGUGAUUACUAACUACCAUUAUCCGAAGUAUGGUUGCAUUUGAUAAUUGGGAGAUUUUAUUCACCAGGUUUUCAUCACUAUACAAAUAAAACAGUAGAUUAGAUCCAUUUGCUUGAGUUCAAAUUGAAGGAGAAAAUAUGGCUGGGCAAACAAACCAUGAGCUUUCACUGUUUUCAGCAGAGGAGCUUGAGUUCAUUGCUGAGGAUGAGACCGUGGACAUUGUACCCAAUCUAAAAAUGGGUCCUCUCAAUUUCAUUUCUGGAGAUUUUGGCCCAUUUACACCACAGAUUGUUACACAAGUCCCAUUGUGGCUGGCCAUUGCUCUCAAGAAGAGAGGCAAGUGCUCCAUUCGCCCUCCUCAAUGGAUGUCUGUUGAGAAGUUGACUCAAGUUUUCGAGGCAGAGCGAGAAUCACAAGAGAUGUCAGAUCAAUUGCCAUUUCAUUAUGUGGAAAUCUCAAGACUUCUUUUUGACCAUGCACGUGACAACAUUCCUGAUGUUCAUAUGGUGAGGCCUCUGAUUGAGGACAUCCGAAAUCUAAGGUUUCAUAAAGUUCAGACUGACUUGGAAGCAUUUAAUGGUCGAACAAUUGCUGUUAAGAUAAAAAAUUUAUCAGCAAUGGAAGUGAAUAUUGUUCGUCCAUUUAUUGGAAGAGCUUUACAGGCAUUUUAUAAGCAUGAUAGCCCAGAGUUGAUACCAGACCCAGAGAGAGUUUCUGACAGGCGCCCCCAAGAUGUCAACAAUGCCCCAAGAAGACAACUACGAAGAUAGUCGUGUAUCACCUUUUUGGUAACAUCUCUUCUAGAAUCGUUGUAUCUGGCCAGCUUCAAAGACUGACGGGGUCGUUAAGCUUUUUUCUGAAAUGGAGAGGGUCUGCAAAUCUUACGAAGGAACGAGUGAUAAUCAAAUGCUGAUACAUGUUUAACUAUUAAUGCUUUACAACCAUGCGAAUUGCUUGUUUACUAUCAAACCAUAAACCAACAUUUACUAACAAGAAAUGUGCUCAUUCAUCCAUGGAAAAUCCUCCUCUUUGUUAACGUGAUAUAACUUAAUAUAACUAGUAGAGUUGGGUCCAAAAAGGAGUUUAACCUAACUCUGCUCCACUUAACAUAUUUCGAUGUGCAUCAUAAUGUGCAAAAUAUUAUGUUCUCGGAAAAAAAAAUGACCAAACAGUAAACUUGUUGCUCGAA